rnacentral:rRNA from 1 species
AUCGAACGCUGGCGGCAGGCCUAACACAUGCAAGUCGAGCGAGCGGCGGACGGGUGAGUAAUGUAUGGGGACUGCCCGAUAGAGGGGGCUAACUACUGGAACCGGUGGCUAAUACCGCAUACUAUCGGAUAACCCAUAGGGGAUUAGCUAGUCGGUGGGGUAAAGGCUCACCUAGGCGACGAUCCCUAGCUGGUCUGAGAGGAGGAUCGGCAACACUGGGACUGAGACACGGCCCAGACUCCUACGGAGGCAGCAGUAGGGAAUAUUGGGCAAUGGGCGAAAGCCUGAUGCAGCAAUGCCGCGUGUAUGAAGAAGGCCUUAGGGUUGUAAAGUACUUUCAGCGGGGAGGCGUUACCCGCAGAAGAAGCACCGGCUAACUCCGUGCCAGCAGCCGCGGUAAUAC